rnacentral:rRNA from 1 species
AACGAACGCUGGCGGCAUGCCUAACACAUGCAAGUCGAACGAGACCUUCGUGUCUAGUGGCGCACGCGUGCGUAACGCGUGGGAACCUGCCCUUAUGUUCGGAAUAACUCCCCGACAGGGGUGCUAAUACCGGAUAAUUUCUUCUGACCACAGAUUUAUCGACUUUGGAUGGGCCGGCGUUGGAUUAGCUAGUUGGGAGGGUAAAAGCCUACCAAGGCGAGGAUCCCUAGCUGGGAUGAGAGGAUGAGCAGCCACACUGGGACUGAGACACGGCCCAGAAUACUACGGGAGGCAGCAGUGGGGAAUAUUGGACAAUGGGCGAAAGCCUGAUGCAGCAAGGCUGCGUGAGUGAUGAAGGCCUUAGGGUUGUAAAGCUCUUUUACCCGGGAUGAUAAUGACAGUACCGGGAGAAUAAGCUCCGGCUAACUCCGUG